GAUAAACGCUGGCGGCGUGCUUAACACAUGCAAGUCGAACGGAGUGGUCCUCCCGAAGACCUGAUUGAGCUUGCUCUUGAUGGAAUUCAUUUGGAUCACUUAGUGGCGGACGGGUGAGUAACGCGUGGGUAACCUGCCCUAUACUGGGGGAUAGCAGUUGGAAACGACUGAUAAUACCGCAUAAGCGCACAGCACCGCAUGGUGCAGUGUGAAAAACUCCGGUGGUAUAGGAUGGACCCGCGUCUGAUUAGCUAGUUGGUGAGGUAACGGCCCACCAAGGCGACGAUCAGUAGCCGGCCUGAGAGGGUGUACGGCCACAUUGGGACUGAGACACGGCCCAAACUCCUACGGGAGGCAGCAGUGGGGAAUAUUGGACAAUGGGGGAAACCCUGAUCCAGCGACGCCGCGUGAGUGAAGAAGUAUCUCGGUAUGUAAAGCUCUAUCAGCAGGGAAGAUAAUGAC
rnacentral:rRNA from 1 species